GCCCGCCUAGCUCAAUCGGAUAGAGCGUCAGACUCUUACGUCCUAGGCAUCGGGUAUCUGAAGGCUGCGAGUUCGACCCUCGCGGUGGGCU
rnacentral:tRNA from 1 species